rnacentral:lncRNA from 1 species
UUGCACUGUCUUUGUACCGAAAUAACAAAAUUGAGAACAGCCGGGUACCAACCUGGUGUGCCCAAUAGGGCCCUCUCCAAGAUCACUGUGGUUUGCCCAGGUCUGAAAUUCUUCUUCUUCUUCUUUUUUUUUUUUUGGUGAGGAAGAUUGUCACUGAGCUAACAUCUGUUGCCAAUCUUUCUCUAUUUUAUGUGGGAUGCUGCCACAGCGUGGCUUGAUGAGGGGUGCUAGGUCCAUGCUGGGAGCAAACCUGCCACCCUGGGCCACCAAACUGGAGCGGUCCAACUUAACCACUACGCCACAGGGCCAGCCCCCACAGGUCUAAAACUCUUUAAGUUUAAUUUUUUUAAAAAAGGAGAGGGUUUUAAUUGCAUAACUAGAGAUUAACUUAGAGUUAUCCCUUUAGUUGGAAGACUUUCAGUGUAUUGGUACCUAUCACUAGGUAGGGAAGGAGAAGGAUAUAGAUUCGCUCUUGCUUAGACACAUCUGAUAGCAACACAGAGAGGGAGACAGUGCAGCAGGUGGCCACUUGAUGGGCAGGCAGAGGAGGGACUUCCAAAGGCUCCUGGUUUUGCCCAGGUCUGGCCUGUUGGUUUCAGUGGGGCAGCCACUGGCGGAGGCUGUGCCUGGAGGCUUCUCAGGCGGCUCAGCUUCCCCUCUUUUCUGAUUUUGUUUGUUUAGGUUUUUAAUACAACUGUCUUCUUUUUUUUUUUUUUUUUUUUUUUUUUUGAGGAAGAUUACCCCUGAGCUAACUACUGCCAGUCCUCCUCUUUUUGCUGAGGAAGCCUGGCCCUGAGCUAACAUCGUGCCCAUCUUCCUCUACUUUACACAUGGGACGCCUGCCACAGCAUGGCGUGCCAAGCAGUGGCGUGUCCGCACCUGGGAUCCGAACCGGCGAACCCCGGGCUUCCGAGAAGUGGAACGUGCGAACUUAACCGCUGCGCCACCGGGCCGGCCCCUGCAACCGACUUUUUAGAAGGCCCCACCUUCCCAGGGAAUUCACUAAUUAAGGGUGACUCCUCUACUGGGACUGCUAGGGAGCAAGAGUCUUCCCUGAAUAAUGCCAAUAACAUGCUUCCAACUUAUACCAGAAGAGCAUCCCUCUGAUUCUGCAACAGUGGCUUGGGACUUCUCUGCCUUGCUGCUGCAACAUCUGGACAGCAUUCGGGGUUGUUUCUCAAGGACACAAGUGUGCACCUCCGGUGAAUUUCAACUUUCAACAUUUCUCUGGCUCUAAUCUAUAUUUAAUGUUUCAUGACUGGUAGUCAAAGAAGCUU